AUCUAUGACCAUAACACCCUAAAUGUACCUGAUCUUGCCUGAUCUUAGAAACUAAGCAGCUUUGGGCCUGGUUAGUACUUGGCUGCCUGGAAUAUCAGUUGCUGUAGGCU
ensembl:rRNA 5S_rRNA 5S ribosomal RNA